rnacentral:rRNA from 1 species
GACGAACGCUGGCGGCGUGCUUAACACAUGCAAGUCGAACGGAAAGGCCCUGCUUUUGUGGGGUGCUCGAGUGGCGACCGGGUGAGUAACAAGUGAGUAACCUGCCCUUGACUUUGGGAUAACUUCAGGAAACUGCGGCUAAUACCGCAUAGGAGCUCCUACUGCAUGGUGUGGGUUGGAAAGUUUCGGCGGUUGGGUUUGGACUCGCGGCUUCUCAGCUUGUUGGUGGGGUAGUGGCUUACCAAGGCUUUGACGGGUAGCCGGCCUGAGAGGGUGACCGGCCACAUUGGGACUGAGAUACGGCGCAGACGCCUACGGGCGGCAGCGGUGGGGAAUAUUGCACAAUGGGCGGAGGCCUGAUGUAGCAACGCCGCGUGCGGGAUGACGGCCUUCGGGUUGUAAACCGCUUGCGCCUGUGACGAAGCGUGAGUGACGGUAAUGGGUAAAGAAGCACCGGCUAACUACGUG